rnacentral:lncRNA from 1 species
AACACCUGUGGAAGGAAGAGGAAGGAAGCAGAGUAGCAGAGGGAGAAGUCGGACCACAAUGCAGUCCAAACAGAGGCCUCAGCUGAGCCCUCGGGGAACACUGGAGCUGGAAUGACCCUUCAGAGUUGUCCUGGGUUGGGGUGAACUUGGGAAGGGGAGUAGGGCUUCUGGAGAAACAAACCUUCUCUUUAAAUGGAGUUCACUGGCUUGUCUCAGCUUCAUGCCAGACUAAAGAACAUGGUUGGCUCCUGGAUCAGUGGAGACUACCCUGGGAUCAACCCUAAAGUGAUUCCUGCAGAGCCUGAGACUGGAAGCUGUCACACCAUGGAUGACAGCCAGGCUGCUGGAUUCAUUUCAAAGUGACUCAGUGGGGCAGAGAACCAUUAAUAUACUUAUCAUCACAGGUAUUAGUUAUAUGUCACUAUUGAGAACUGUUGCAGAGUAUUAUUUUUCAUUCUUUUAUUUGUUUAACCAUACACUGUCUAGCUUUAAAAAUUUUAUUUGUGUUCAUGUGUUUGUUUUGUUCACAGGUAGACUAUUUUGUUUCUGAGAUUACUCCAAAUUUUACACAGAUGAUAAGUAGGUAGUGAAAAAAAUCCAAUUAGAAAAUGGGUGAAAGACCUGCCGAGACUUUUCACCAAAGAGGAUAUACAGAUGGUGAAUAAGGAGGUGAGAUCUUUAACAUUGUUAGCCAUUAGGGAAAUGCAAAUGCAAACCAUAUUGAGAUAGCACUACACACCUAUCAGAAUGGCUAUAAUAAAAAAUAGUGACAAUACCAAAAUGCUGGAGAAGAUGCAGAGAAACUGGAUCAUUCAUUGCUGGGAGAAUGUAAAAUGGUAUAACUACUCUGGAAAACAGUUUGGCAGUUUCUCUAAAAAAUAAAUGUGCAGCUACUAUAUCACCCAGCAAUUACACUUUUGGACUUUUAUUGCAAAGAAGUUCAACUUAUGUCCACACAAAAACUUGUACAUGAAUAUUGAUAGCACCAAUUGAUUAAAAUAUCAAAAAAAGUUUUUAAUUGUGGCAAAACACACAUAACACAAACUUUACUUUUUUUUUUUUUUUUGCCUAGGGAAGAUUCGCCCUGAGCUAACAUCUGUGCCAAUCUUCCUCUAUUUUGUACGCGAGUUGCCGCAUAGCAUGGCUGCCGAUGAGUGGUGCAGGCCCUGACAACCUCCAUUCUACUUUCUGUAUCUAUGAAUUUGAUUACUCGAGAUACUUCAUCUAAGUGGAAUCACACAGUAUUUUUUUUGUGACUGGCUUAUUUUACUUAGCAUAAUGUUCUCAAGGUUCGUCCAUGUUGUAGCAUGUGCCAGAAUUUCUUUUCUUUUUAAGGCUGAAUAAUAUUCCAUUGUAUGUGUGUUUUGUUGAUCCAUUCAUCAGUUGCUUCAUACUUGGGUUGCUUCCACCUUUUGGCUACUGUGAAUAAUGCUGCUUUGAACAUGAGUGUACAAAUAUCUCUUCGAGACCCAGAGGUGGAAUUGCUAGAUCGUAUAAUAAUUCUAUUUUUAAUUAUUUGAGGAACUGCCAUACUGUUUUCCAUAGCAACUUAACCAUUUUACAUUCCCAUCAACAGUUUACAGGGUUUCAAUUUCUCUACACCCUUGCCAACACGUUUUUUUUUAAUAGUAGCCACCGCUGUGAUUUUGAUUUUGAUUUCCUUAAUGAUUAGUGAUGUUGAGCAUCUUUUCAUGUGCUUGUUGGCCAUUUGUAUAUCAUCUUUGGAGAAAUGCCUAUUCAAACCUUUGCCCAUUUUUUUAAUUGAGGUUUCUUUUUUGUUGUUGUUAUUGAGUUGUAGGAGUUCUUUAUAUAUUCUAAAUAUUGACCCUUUAUCAGAUAUAUGAUUUGCCAAUAAUUUCUCUCAUGUUGUAGGGUUUUUUACUCUGUUGAUUGUGUCCUUUGGUGCACAGAAGUUUUUAAUUUUGAUGUAGUACAAUUUACCUAGUUUUACUUUUGUUACCUGUGCUUUUAGUGUCAUAUCCAAGAAAUAAUUGCCAAAUCCAAUGUCAUGAAGCUUUUGUCCUAUGAUUUCUUCUAAGAGUUUUAUCUCUUAUGUUUAGGGCUUUGAUUUGUUUUGAGUUAAUUUUUGUUUAUGGUGUAAUGUAACGGUCCAACUUCCUUCUUUUGUAUAUGGAUAUCCAAUUUUCCCAAUACCAUUUGUUGAACUUCCCAUUAUUUCUUAAAUGGCAUUAUUUGACUCUGUAACCUACAAGACAUUAAAAUACAAAAAGCACUUAAGGUGCAUUAAAAUCUAUGAACCAGUAAGAAUCAUGGUGAUGCAACUGUAAGCCAAAUGAAUUUCUUCUGAGGAGAAAAGGCUGUGGCCAGCCUGUGAGGCAAAAGUACUAAGCAGGAAAUGAAACUAUAAAAUAAAAGGUCAGUCUUUACCUAAAAGCAGCUUAGAGAGUAUUUCCAGUGACACAGCAGCCUCUCAAUACACCAUAUAUCAUCUCUAUACAUUAAAGGUACUAUAUAUUGUCCAAGAAAGAUUAACCUAACAACCAAAUACAAACAAGAAAAGAUGCAUCUUAAUUAUCUAAUUACCGUUCAGGAUCCCAGUGAUUUUGGAACCUAGUGAAACAUCUCAGAUUAAUGUUGCUAUAAGUUGGUUUUGGUUAUAUUACUAGGUGCUUCAUUCCCAUUGAGUCAUUAUAAUCUGUUAAUUAAAAGGAUAUCUACUUACAGCUUCUUUUCAAAGUCUUAGUGAACUUUUGUUCCAGGACUGUCUCUAGGAUUAAGAUGCUUUCUGCUUUUAGUUUCAUUUGUUUCCACAACAUUAACUGUACAUAUAGCAUAACCGAUGUCUCUAAUAGAAAAAGUUAAAUUCUGUUUAGAAUAGUGUUUAAUAAAAUUGAAUAUACGUAUAAAGUUUUUAGAGAUGUUUAUUUUGAAAUUUUACAAUAAAAAUUCUGCUACUCAAAAGAUUAAGCUUCAGUUUUCUAGACAUUUUAUAGUUCCUGAAAACAGCUGGAUAAAAGAGAUUUUAGAAUGAAUCAGAGCCUGGUACAAACCGACAUCAUGACUCAGAAUACAAGUGAACAGAAAUCUAUGCGUCUACUUAGCAGACUAGAAAGUUACUAGCUGGUAAAAUAAGCUAAAACUCCAUGAAAUUAAAAUGAAUGCUUUCUGCAGUCACAAUAAAGUUCUGGUAACAUUUUUUAGGUUCUUCUAACAUAGACACAUGCUCAAUAGCACAAACAAAUUUCAAUCAAAUAAGAAGAGCUUAAGUGUAGAAAAUAUACAAUCAACCCAGUUUACUCCUUCCUGUACCACAGGGCAUAGCUACAUG